UACGUAGGGUGCGAGCGUUGUCCGGAAUUAUUGGGCGUAAAGAGCUCGUAGGCGGUUUGUCGCGUCGACUGUGAAAACCCGAGGCUCAACUUCGGGCUUGCAGUCGAUACGGGCAGGCUAGAGUUCGGUAGGGGAGACUGGAAUUCCUGGUGUAGCGGUGAAAUGCGCAGAUAUCAGGAGGAACACCGAUGGCGAAGGCAGGUCUCUGGGCCGAUACUGACGCUGAGGAGCGAAAGCGUGGGGAGCGAACAGG
rnacentral:rRNA from 1 species